GCCUCGGUAGUGCAGUUGGUAGCACGACAAACCGGACAUUUUUAGGUGGCUGUGAGUUCGAGUCCCACCUGGGACU
rnacentral:tRNA from 1 species